rnacentral:rRNA from 1 species
GACGAACGCUGGCGGCGUGCCUAAUACAUGCAAGUCGAACGCUUCUUUCCUCCCGAGUGCUUGCACUCAAUUGGAAAGAGGAGUGGCGGACGGGUGAGUAACACGUGGGUAACCUACCCAUCAGAGGGGGAUAACACUUGGAAACAGGUGCUAAUACCGCAUAACAGUUUAUGCCGCAUGGCAUAAGAGUGAAAGGCGCUUUCGGGUGUCGCUGAUGGAUGGACCCGCGGUGCAUUAGCUAGUUGGUGAGGUAACGGCUCACCAAGGCCACGAUGCAUAGCCGACCUGAGAGGGUGAUCGGCCACACUGGGACUGAGACACGGCCCAGACUCCUACGGGAGGCAGCAGUAGGGAAUCUUCGGCAAUGGACGAAAGUCUGACCGAGCAACGCCGCGUGAGUGAAGAAGGUUUUCGGAUCGUAAAACUCUGUUGUUAGAGAAGAACAAGGACGUUAGUAACUGAACGUCCCCUGACGGUAUCUAACCAGAAAGCCACGGCUAACUACGUGCCAGCAGCCGCGGUAAUACGUAGGUGGCAAGCGUUGUCCGGAUUUAUUGGGCGUAAAGCGAGCGCAGGCGGUUUCUUAAGUCUGAUGUGAAAGCCCCCGGCUCAACCGGGGAGGGUCAUUGGAAACUGGGAGACUUGAGUGCAGAAGAGGAGAGUGGAAUUCCAUGUGUAGCGGUGAAAUGCGUAGAUAUAUGGAGGAACACCAGUGGCGAAGGCGGCUCUCUGGUCUGUAACUGACGCUGAGGCUCGAAAGCG